CCAGCUCAGUGCUGCAGAGAACAGGCUGCAGAGGGAACUGCUCCUCUUUGAGCUUCUUCAUGUACCUUAUGUCACCUCAGUGCUGAAAGGCCUACGACAUAUUUAACCCUUUGCUGUGAACGCCCUCCAGGACUGCACGGGCUCUUUUCCACCUUGAAUGAAAGUGAAGCUCUCCAAGGGUAACUGCUGGAUAUAAUACAGCUCCAGGGUUGUAAAACAAACGUAUCUAGGGGUGAAACUGACUAAGACAGCAGUGUUAUGCAUGUACAAGCUGAAAAUGGGACUACCUGGUAAGAAGAAAUCUCACACGGUUUUAGACAUUGUGCCAUACAAGACAUCUAAAGUAAUUUCCUGUUGUUAUGGCUAAAUUCUCCUUUCUUCUGUCGAGUCAAAACAGCCCAAGAUCUACAUGACUUUCAGUGGAAAAUCUUGCUUAAAAUUGACAGUCAGUAACGUCCUGAAGAACUGAAGAGAUAACAUGUGGUACCUGGGAAUAAUUUACUGAGCAUAACCUAUGAUCAAAGUCUCAUAUAGCAAACUGUAAUUUUAAACUGCCUCAAGAAAACUGCAGCUCACUGACUCUGAAGAGGUUGAUCAAAAACUACCACCUUCUAUCACACACAAUAGCCCUGCGAGACGCCUGAAGUCACCUCAUAAAAACAACUUCACGCUCACAAAAGAGAUUAACCGCAGAGAGGACCUAGAACCAAGGGACAUGAACGGGAUCCAGUGAACUAAGUACAGACUUCACCUCCUAGGCAGAGCUUUGGCUGUGAUUAGGUAGGAGUGCCAAAUCACAAAGCUCUUUAAGUGGAACAUAGAUAAUUAAAAUCUCAGAAAAUCUUUUACAGAAAGAUAGUUUGCAAGUAUUAAA